CUGGACUUGACAUGCUAGAGAAAGCCCGGUGAAAGCCGGGCCCCCCUUCGGGGCUCUAGCACAGGUGCUGCAUGGCUGUCGUCAGCUCGUGUCGUGAGAUGUUGGGUUAAGUCCCGCAACGAGCGCAACCCUUGCCUGCUGUUGCCAGCGGAGGAGAAAUCCUGCCGGGGACUCUGCAGGGACUGCCGGUGAUAAACCGGAGGAAGGUGGAGACGACGUCAAGUCAUCAUGGUCCUUACGUCCAGGGCUACACACGUGCUACAAUGGACGGGACAAACCGCUGCAAGCCUGCCAGGGUGAGCGAAUCGGAAAAACCCGGUCUAAAUUCGGAUUGCAGUCUGUAACUCGACUGCAUGAAGUUGGAAUCGCUAGUAAUCGUGGAUCAGCUACGCCACGGUGAAUCCGUUCCC
rnacentral:rRNA from 1 species